UACGUAGGUGGCUAGCGUUGUCCGGAUUUACUGGGCGUAAAGAGCGCGCAGGCGGUCGUUCAAGUCGAGUGUGAAAGCCCCCGGCUCAACUGGGGAGGGUCACUCGAUACUGAUCGACUCGAAGGCAGGAGAGGGAAGCGGAAUUCCCGGUGUAGUGGUGAAAUGCGUAGAUAUCGGGAGGAACACCAGUGGCGAGGGCGGCUUUCUGGCCUGUUCUUGACGCUGAGGCGCGAAAGCUAGGGUAGCAAACGGG
rnacentral:rRNA from 1 species